AUUGAACGCUGGCGGCAGGCCUAACACAUGCAAGUCGAGCGAAGCCUUCGGGCUUAGCGGCGGACGGGUGAGUCACGCAUGGGAACGUGCCCUUUGCUACGGAAUAGCCCCGGGAAACUGGGAGUAAUACCGUAUGUGACCUUCGGGGGAAAGAUUUAUCGGCAAAGGAUCGGCCCGCGUUGGAUUAGGUAGUUGGUGGGGUAAUGGCCUACCAAGCCGACGAUCCAUAGCUGGUUUGAGAGGAUGAUCAGCCACACUGGGACUGAGACACGGCCCAGACUCCUACGGGAGGCAGCAGUGGGGAAUCUUAGACAAUGGGGGAAACCCUGAUCUAGCCAUGCCGCGUGAUCGAUGAAGGCCUUAGGGUUGUAAAGAUCUUUCAGUGGGGAAGAUAAUGACUGUACCCACAGAAGGAGCCCCGGCUAACUCCGUGCCAGCAGCCGCGGUAA
rnacentral:rRNA from 1 species